rnacentral:rRNA from 1 species
CCUACGGGUGGCAGCAGUGGGGAAUAUUGGUCAAUGGGGGGAACCCUGAACCAGCGAUGCCGCGUGAGUGAAGGUGUAUUUCGGUAUGUAAAGCUCUAUCAGCAGGGAAGAAAAAAGACGGUACCUGACUAAGAAGCCGCGGCUAACUACGUGCCAGCAGCCGCGGUCAUACGGAGGGGGCAAGCUUUAUCCGGAUUUACUGUGUGGAAAGGGAGCGGAGACGGCGCGGCAAGUCUGAAGUGAAAGGCAGGGGCUUAAACCCUGAACUGCCGUGGAAACUGCCAUGCUAGAGUGCUGGAGAGGUAAGUGGAAUUCCUAGUGUAGCGGUGAAAUGCGUAGAUAUUAGGAGGAACACCAGUUGCGAAGGCGGCUUACUGGACAGUAACUGACGUUGAGGCUCGAAAGCGUGGGGAGCAAACAUGAUUAGAUACCCGAGUAGUC